CUGGAGUCUGCAACCCGACUCCACGAAGCNGGAUUCGCUAGUAAUCGCGCAUCAGCCACGGCGCGGUGAAUACGUUCCCGGGCCUUGUACACACCGCCCGUCACACCAUGGGAGCCGGUAAUACCCGAAGUCAGUAGUCCAACCUCGUGAGGACGCUGCCGAAGGUAGGAUUGGCGACUGGGGUGAAGUCGUAACAAGGUACC
rnacentral:rRNA from 1 species